GACGAACGCUGGCGGCGUGCUUAACACAUGCAAGUCGAGCGGUAAGGCCCUUUCGGGGGUACACGAGCGGCGAACGGGUGAGUAACACGUGGGUGACCUGCCCUCAGCUCUGGGAUAAGCCUGGGAAACCGGGUCUAAUACCGGAUAUGACUCCAUGACGCAUGUUGUGGGGUGGAAAGCCUUGUGCGGCUGAGGAUGGGCCCGCGGCCUAUCAGCUUGUUGGUGGGGUGAUGGCCUACCAAGGCGACGACGGGUAGCCGGCCUGAGAGGGCGACCGGCCACACUGGGACUGAGACACGGCCCAGACUCCUACGGGAGGCAGCAGAGGGGAAUCUUGCGCAAUGGGCGAAAGCCUGACGCAGCGACGCCGCGUGAGGGAUGACGGCCU
rnacentral:rRNA from 1 species